UACGUAGGGUGCGAGCGUUAAUCGGAAUUACUGGGCGUAAAGCGUGCGCAGGCGGUUCGCCAAGUCAGGUGUGAAAUCCCCGGGCUCAACCUGGGAAUUGCGCUUGAAACUAGCGGGCUUGAGUGCGGCAGAGGGGGGUGGAAUUCCACGUGUAGCAGUGAAAUGCGUAGAGAUGUGGAGGAACACCGAUGGCGAAGGCAGCCCCCUGGGUCGACACUGACGCUCAUGCACGAACGCGUGGGGAGCAAACAGG
rnacentral:rRNA from 1 species